UGGGCCAUAUUCCUGUGCGCCAGGCAAAAACUCACAGAAAAAACAAUAUUGCUGUCGGUCCUGGCCCGGCCCACAGGACUAACCAAUAUCCCUGGCGUGCGUAACCCACAGCGAAAAUGAAGCCCAGGUUUGCCGCCAUGAAUUCAGCCACGCGCGCGAAAACAAAGCCCGUCCCGCCGCUGAACUAAUUUUUGGGCUGCCGCUCACCGGUUGGAAAACUUGGAAUAAAGCCCCAGCGAAAAAAUCCCAGUCAUUCCCCACCCGAGCCAGACAGCGGCGCCCCCAAAUCCCAGAUCUGGCCGCCGCCAGCCAUCGGCGUCCCAGAUCCCUCGUCGUCUCUACGCAGAUGCGCCCCAAAUCCGUCGCCAACCUGCUGCGCCCCAGAUCCCUCGUCGCCGGAUGCGCGUCCGCCAACCUCUCUCCCGCCCCAUUCGCCAUACUCGCUGGGUUGCCGAACAAGGAACAGCCGCCGCCGGAAUAUGGCCGUCAACUUCGCCUCUACCUCCGGAGGGUCGCCGUAAAGGUACCUGCUAAUGUCGUCAAUCGAUCGCCAUCGCAUCCUUCUAUGAGUGCCGCCCCUUUCCAUCCAGAAAAUAACGAGAAUGGUCUCCUUCCUCAUUUGCUGGGUACUGGUAGAAGAAAAUGGCUCUAUACAGACAUUGGUCUUGAAUAGGCCAAGGUAGUUGAUGUCUCUCCUCUGCAACCGUUACAGGACUCCUAAAAAAUCACUUCUUCAGAGGAGGGAAACAAAGUUGGACUGUUAAUUGUAAAG